rnacentral:rRNA from 1 species
UACAGAGGUCUCAAGCGUUGUUCGGAUUCAUUGGGCGUAAAGGGUGCGUAGGCGGCGCGGCAAGUCGGGUGUGAAAUCUUGGAGCUUAACUCCGAAACUGCAUUCGAUACUGCCGUGCUUGAGGACUGGAGAGGAGACUGGAAUUUACGGUGUAGCGGUGAAAUUCGUAGAUAUUCGCAAGAACACCAGUGGCGAAGGCGGCUCACUGGCCCGAUACUGACGCUGAGGCACGAAAGCGUGGGGAGCAAACAGG